rnacentral:rRNA from 1 species
GAAAGCGAUGCUAAUACCGAAUGACAUUUUCAUUGUUUCGGCAUAGAAAAUCAAAGGUGGCCUCUUCAUGAAAGCUACCGUUUGGGGAUGAGCCCGCGUCCCAUUAGCUUGUUGGUGAGGUAACGGCUCACCAAGGCCGCGAUGGGUAGCUGGUCUGAGAGGAUGAUCAGCCACACUGGAACUGACACACGGUCCAGACUCCUACGGGAGGCAGCAGUGAGGAAUUUUGCGCAAUGGGGGAAACCCUGACGCAGCAACGCCGCGUGAGUGAUGAAGGCUUUCGGGUCGUAAAGCUCUGUCAAGUGGGAAGAACCUGUGAAGCGUUAAUACCGCUUCGCACUGACGGUACCACUGAAGGAAGCACCGGCUAACUCCGUGCCAGCAGCCGCGGUAAUACGGGGGGUGCAAGCGUUAUUCGGAAUCAUUGGGCGUAAAGGGCGCGUAGGCGGCCUGAUUAGUCAGAUGUGAAAGCCCGGGGCUCAACCCCCGGAAGUGCAUUUGAUACUGUCAGGCUUGGGUAUGGGAGA